rnacentral:rRNA from 1 species
AUUGAACGCUGGCGGCAGGCCUAACACAUGCAAGUCGAGCGAGCGUCGGACGGGUGAGUAAUAUCUGGGAGACUGCCUGAUUGGGGGGGGUAACUACUGGAAACGGUAUCUAAUACCCCAUACCAUCACAUGUGCCCCGAUGGGAUUAGAUGUUAGGUGGGGUAACGGCUCACCUAGGCGCCGAUCCCUAGCUGGUCUGAGAGGAUGACCCGCAACACUGUAACGGAGACAGGGGCCAGACUCCUACGGGAGGCAGCAGGGGGGAAUAUUGCACAAUGGGCGCAAGCCUGAUGCAGCCAUGCCGCGUGUGUGAAGAAGGCCUUCGGGUUGUAAAGCACUUUCAGCGGGGAGGCGUUACCCGCAGAAGAAGCACCGGCUAACUCCGUGCCAGCCGCCGCGGUAAUUC